AGCUCCCGCUCACCCCUGCCACGUCAAAGGAGGCAGAAGGGGAGUUGGGAGCAGAGAGGG
ensembl:miRNA